rnacentral:tRNA from 1 species
GCGGGCGUGGUGGAAUGGUAGACACGCGAGACUUAAAAUCUUGUUUUCGCAAGAAAGUGUGGGUUCGAGUCCCACCGCCCGCACCA